CUUAUAAUAAUACCCCCAGUUGCUACUGACGUCCAAGUACCCGAAUACCUGUAGAUUGUCACAUCAACAUGAAAGACAGAUCGAGUGAGUAAUAACCCUAUCAAUUAAAGCUGUACUUUAAUAACAUUACCCGAGGGUUUAAAAAACAAAUUCACGGCUUUUAGCAAAAUAUUUUAAUUAAACCAGCACUACUUGAAUGAAUCAACCAGGUUUUGAGAUUCACAUGAGAGUAUAGUAGUAUAUUUUACAAUAAAAUGCAUAAUUAAAAAGUACUACAAGCAUGGCAGACGGUCUGAUUGUUAUAUAGAGGGGUCAGUGUCAUAGGUUACUUCGGCUCAAGAACAUUUCGUCCCACACCAAAAGUCAAUUUUGCUUAACAAAAAUGGCUCCAUUGCCUUGUGAUUUUUCUCUUUAGAGUUUAGACUAUCUUUUAAAUUAAAGAUCUUGUCAUCAUUUUAUUGUCAUCUUGUACUGAGAGUAUUUUUUUUCUUCUUAUUAUUAUAUUCAAAGUCUUAAUUCGCUGAUCGGAUAGACAUAAGCUUGCAGUACACAUUCUACAGUAGUUCACCGACAUCACAACUCUGUCUGGCCAACCUAUCGCUGAACAGUGUAUAUCAUUAAAUGAAGAAAAAAAUGAAAUGUGUUUCUGUCUUUACUAAAGACUAACCAUUCUAACCUUUAAACUAAUACGUUCUUUAUGGCUGUGUAUAUUUUUAUGCUUGUUAUUGAAUGCAAAUUUGUAACUUAAUCUUUAAUUUUGUUAUAGUUUCUUUUGCGGAGAGAAAGAAAGUAAGGAAAUAAAACAAAGGGGUUGGCAAAAGGAUUUGUCAGAGAGUAGACGGGUUUGCGAUAUCAGCUUCCAAAGGGAGUUAAUUGUAUAUUGUGACUAUAUUACAUGUGCAAAAGUUUUAAGUGUUCAAGAAAUAAACAUAUCGGCAAGGCUAACCAGCGUUCUUAACUAAUGAAAAUAUGAUUGGCAAAUGCUUUCGCAGUUGUUCGUCUUGCGAUGAUCCAAGAAUUUCACCUCUAGCACCGCAAUUCGGAUGCCCCCAUCUGUCCCUAAUAAAUAUACGUCCUGUUCCGAAAACAAGCAAAUAUAGAACCGAGAUCGUCUUCGAUUUUUCUAUGCAGUCUGUCGAGCCUGCUUUCAAUACUCUUCAAAAAAAUACUCAAUUUCUUCGAAGUAAUCGUUCCGGCCGCCCAUAACGCUCAUCGAAGAUUUUUUGUUGUUGAUCUUGGAAGGGAGAGUGCUUCCACCUCAAGGCGAUUUCGCACUAUGGGGGAGGGGGGGGCCAGGGAUUACCACGUACUCUGAACUUAUAUAGGCCCUAUCGGGGGGGGAGAGUACUCUUACCAACCAAGGGCCAUAACCCCUAAUAAUGGCACGUGACUUUUAGCCAAUGGUGUACUACGUGAUCGGAACUGCGCGCCAUUUGCAAAGUUAUGUUUCUACACUUUUCGCAACAGGAAUUAUAAUUAAGCUUCUUCAGCCGUCAAUUCCAAUACUGAUACAUGUGUUUGACUCUUCAAUAACAGUCGUGUUGGCACAGCUGUAGCUAUAGGAGCGAAAGUUUUUGGGUUCAACAUUAUAUUUUACGAUCCUUACCUUGGAGAUGGCAUAGAAAAGUCACUUGGAAUCACUCGUGUGUACACUCUGCAAGAGCUACUUUUCCAAAGUGAUUGUGUUACACUUCACUGCGAUCUUAAUGAACAUAAUCAUCAUCUAAUCAACGACUACACAAUCAAACAGAUGAGACCAGGAGCAUUCCUGAUCAACACCGCUCAGGGAGGACUUGUCGAUGAGCAUGCUUUGGCUGCAGCACUCAAAGAUGGCCGCAUUUGUGCAGCCGCUUUGGAUGUUCAAGAAAAUGAACCAUUUAGCCUCGCCACAAGUCCAUUGAAAGAUUGUCCAAACCUCCUGAUCACCCCUCAUUCAGCCUUCUAUAGUGAACAAAGUGUUUCGGAAUUGAGAGAAAUGGCUGCAGGAGAAGUACGGCGUGCGAUCCUUGGCCGAAUCCCAGACAGCCUACGCAACUUUGUCAACAAGGAAUAUUUUACUCAAACCACAAUUCUUUGGUAACCAUGGUAAAAAUAAAAAAACCUCAUGUCCUGGAAAUUUGUGUUGGUGCAGCAUUUGAAAGGAGCUUGUUGUGGCCGCCUGCAUACAGUGAGCAGAUGAAUAUGUGAAAACAAUUGUAUUGGGCAAAAUGAACACAUAAAAUAUUGCUUCAGUAUAUAGCUGAUAGUGUAAUUCUAGUUUGUUUUUUGUUUUUUUCUUCUUCAUUGGGGAAAGAAUAUUCAUAAUAAAUAUAACUGGAAGCUAAAUCAUUACCUGUCUCCACUUGAAAUAUGAAAGAUCAGACAAAUUGAAACCUGUAUGUGUUUUGAAGAGGUACAGAUCAACACAGCAAGUCCAUUACCAUGACUGUGUGUCUGCUUUGGCAAUGACUUAAAAUUUAUUUAGAUGGUUUGUGGCUUUCUGUUUUAUAUUGUUUUAUGACAUACUAAUUGUGAACAUUAAAGACUAAUUCAGAUUAUAAAUAGUGGUUUGGUUCGCUAUGUACAUUCAUUGCUCCUGCUAAAGACUUCUAUGGGACUAAAAAAAAAAUCAACUUUUUUUCUUUUUGUAUGGAAGUUUGAUCAUCAGUUACAUUGUUUGCAAUAUAUAUAUAUACAUGAGGGUGAUGCUCACUCAGCAUGGCUGGUCAUUAUUGAUUUUAGAAGAAGGUAGAUAAACUGAAGAAGCAAUUUUCAAAAGUACACUAAAUGAACCUUUUUAUAUAUAUAUACCACAAAGAAUUAAUACAGUGAUUGCAGCAUGAGAACUGAGUAGUUGCAUACAAAUGACCUUGUGCCAUAGGACUUACCAAGAAAAUAUCUCUGUGGAUGGGAAAAGAAACACUAAACUUUACUCAAUGUAUGCGUCUCAUUCACGUUCAUGUAACCAAGCCUGCUCAUUCGAAGCACGCAGAUAAUCGCAAAAUUUGUAUAGCGCAUGCUCAUACUCGUAAGGAGCAUACUUGAAGAGCUCCAUGUGGGGCAACUGUUCAGAUUUUAUGAAUAUAAAUUCCAGUUCCUCCACCACUGUCACCAGCUGAACUUUUGGGACUACUAGCCCAUGGUUGGCAUGAAGUAUACUUGCUUAACAGUAGGGUCUCUUAUUGUUCCCUCGCGUUGCCGUAAUCAUUUCUUCACAUUCAGCACACAUUUUCCGUUGUAUCUUCUUGGUGGUAUAAACAGCAAUGUAAGUCACAAUAUUUUGUGCAGGAACUGAUUUCCUCGGCAGAAUUAAUGAAAGCAAACUGGGAGAUUUUGCAUAUUUCGAGUUCCCCGCGUCUUGCAUCAGAAGUCGCCAGAGAUGUGUGCGCGGGCUGAGUACUGAAGUGUAGGGUCAAGAAAAAGUGAUCUCGAGUCCAUCCACCAUCACCUGGCGCACAAAGAAUCGAAAUUGUGAUAACUUGGGUUAUCUCACUGCCCUCCUUUUCCUCCUAUUACAGAAAAAAGGUUUUCUAUAAAGUCUGUUAGUGUGGAGAAAUUUAACCUCAUUCGUUUUAAGAUCGUCCCGAAGUUAAAAUCAUAGUGAUUUUCCAUCUCAUAUAUGAAAGUGGUUUUGAUGCAUUGCUCUGAAGCCAUGUAAGUUGCGUGCAAGAACUGGACGUUUCUAGGAUGGCAUGACAUCGUUUGGCUGCUACGCUUGCUGUUGAACGCAUUAAACAGUUGAUCCACGCGUUUAACACAAAAAGUACUCUUACCAACCAAGGGCCAUAACCCCUAAUAAUGGCACGUGAUCGGAACUGCGCGCCAUUUGCAAAGUUAUGUUUCUAAACUUUUCGCAACAGGAAUUAUAAUUAAGCUUCUUCAGCCGUCAGUUCCAAUACUGAUACAUGUGUUGGACUCUUCAAUAACAUUAGCUUAAAGCACGUAGUCAGGGGAAUACUGUCUGUGCUAUUUUCAACUGAAUUAGCCCGGUGUUACAACUUGAAUGAUCUGAAGGGACUGAAGAACCACCCCUUUAUUUUACGAACAGUUAAGGCAUCUGUCCUUAAUUGAAGUUGGACAAGGACUCAGAAGACCCAGGUAGGUGACAAUAUACGACAUCAUUUGAUUCAAAGGUAUAUCAUUAAAUGAAGAAAAAAAUGAAAUGUGUUUCUGUCUUUACUAAACUUUACUAUACUAUUAUGGUUUGUUUUUGUUUUUUUUCAGCAUCUGUCCUUAAUUGAAGUUGGACAAGGACUGAGAAGACCCAGAAUCUGUCCUUAAUUGAAGUUGGACAAGGACUCAGAAGACCCAGAAUCUUUCCUUAAUUGAAGUUGGACAAGGACUCCGAAGACCCAGAAUCUUUCCUUAAUUGAAGUUUGACAAAGACUCAGAAGACCCAGAAUCUGUCCUUAAUUGAAGUUGGACAAGGACUCAGAAGACCCAGAAUCUGUCCUUAAUUGAAGUUGGACAAGGACUCAGAAGACCCAGCAUCUGUCCUUAAUUGAAGUUGGACAAGGACUGAGAAGAUACAGAAUCUUUCCUUAAUUGAAGUUGGACAAGGACUCAGAAGACCCAGAAUCUUUCCUUAAUUGAAGUUGGACAAGGACUCCGAAGACCCAGCAUCUGUCCUUAAUUGAAGUUGGACAAGGACUGAGAAGACACAGAAUCUUUCCUUAAUUGAAGUUGGACAAGGACUCAGAAGACCCAGAAUCUGUCCUUAAUUGAAGUUGGACAAGGACUCAGAAGACCCAGCAUCUGUCCUUAAUUGAAGUUGGACAAGGACUGAGAAGACCCAGGUAUGUCACCCAGGUAUAUCAUUAAAUGAAGAAAAAAAAUGAAAUGUGUUUCUGUCUUUACUAAAGACUAACCAUUCUAACCUUUAAACUAAUACGUUCUUUAUGGCUGUGUAUAUUUUUAUGCUUGUUAUUGAAUGCAAAUUUGUAACUUAAUCUUUAAUUUUGUUUUAGUAUUUUUAUUUUAAUUCUCAUAUAAUUUUGGAGGCAUUUUUUUAGAAUCUUUCCUUAAUUGAAGUUGGACAAGGACUCAGAAGACCCAGGUAGGUGACAAUAUACGACAUCAUUUGAUUCAAAGGUAUAUCAUUAAAUGAAGAAAAAAAAUGAAAUGUGUUUUUUGUCUUUCUUGGUGACUGGUGUGAGGGAUCGCGAAAAUGGGAGAAAGGAAAGACUUUUAAAGCCUGUAAAUAAUUCUGGGGGUGUGGGUGAGCUCUAAAAAUUUCAACUGAUAUUUAUCUGAAAAACUCUUUGACAUAUACCUGUACAGGUCAAUGCUUUACGAGUUUGUGUAAAUAAUUAUUUUUUUAAUUAACAUUGAAAUAAACACCAAUAAACAAAAAAAA